AUUCCACAACAUGGAGAAAAAGGAGAAACACCUCUCGCCGCACUGGGUGCUCUGACCCUCUUGAAUUUCCUUGGGGAAAACAGACUAUAGACUGUCAAAGGCCUGGAUUACCAUCAUAUGCCAUUUCCCUGUCACAAUGACACCUCCUCCUGAAGAGUUUAUAUUUGUUCACUUCACCUCUGGGACCAGGCAUCUCUGGAAAGUGAUAGCAUCAAGGAUUCAAGCAGUCCCAGCAAGUAUCCAACAUGGGCAUUCUUGCCACAAUGGAUCUGUCACCCUGCUCUGGUCCGGCCUCUCCAUCACUGCAGUGGGGCCGCUGCGUGCCUCACUGCUGUCCAUUGCUGUGCUCCUGGAUGCUACCAUUCUCAAGGUCUCUUCUCAGCUGAUAACAACUCUUCUGGGAACUCUGGUCUGGGCCCACAGUCUCAGACUGUACUACCACAGGGGAAC
rnacentral:lncRNA from 1 species